UACGGAGGGGGCAAGCGUUGUUCGGAAUUACUGGGCGUAAAGCGCGCGUAGGCGGGUCUUUAAGUCAGAGGUGAAAUCCUGGAGCUCAACUCCAGAACUGCCUUUGAUACUGGAGAUCUUGAGUCCGGAAGAGGUUAGUGGAAUUCCCAGUGUAGAGGUGAAAUUCGUAGAUAUUGGGAAGAACACCAGUGGCGAAGGCGGCUAACUGGUCCGGUACUGACGCUGAGGUGCGAAAGCGUGGGGAGCAAACAGGAUUAGAUACCCGCGUA
rnacentral:rRNA from 1 species